ensembl:lncRNA
AAUACUUCCUUACAGUGUGACUACUGGAUCUUUAACCAUCUGCCUAAUCUCUGUCAUACAAGCUUACGCUUCUCACCCAGUGUGUUCCUUCAAGAAGGGCAUUAUGUCAUUAUGCCAUCCCUUCACACAAGGCAAUCCCAGUUCAGACUGUUCUCAUCUGUACUUCCUUUGAUGGUGGAGCAACCUACUAAAUGCUAUCAGAGCAGGGGUGUCCCUGUCCAUGUCAACAAUCAUGGGGGGAGCCGUAGCACAGCGGUAGCGUUGGCGUCCCAUACACAAGGACCCAGCCUGAGGUAAUUUCUCGAGCCCUCUCCCCAUCUCUCUCCCCAUCUCUUCCUCUCCCCAUCUCUCUCCCCAUCUCUCCCUCUUCCCAUCUCUCUCUCAUCUCUCCCUCUCCCCAUCUCUCCCUCUCUCCAAUCUCCCUCUCCCAUCUCUCUCUCCCAUCUCUCUCUCCCUCUCUCUCUCUCUCCCAUCCCGCUCUCCCCAUCUCUCUCUCUCAUCUCUCUCCCAUCUCUCUCUCUCCAUCUCUCUCUCUCAUCUCUCUCUCUCUUCCAUCUCUCUCCCCAUCUCUCUCUCCCUCUCCCUCUCCCCAUCUCUCUCCCCAUCUCUUCCUCUCCCAUCUCUCCCAUCUCUCUCUCCCUCUCCCCAUCUCUCUCUCCAUCUCUCCCUCUCCCAUCUCUCCCUCUCCCCAUCUCUCUACCUCUUUCUCCAUCUCUCUCUCCCAUCUCUCUCUCCCUCUCUCUCUCUCUCUCUCCCAUCCCGCUCUCCCAAUCUCUCUCUCUCAUCUCUCUCCCAUCUCUCUCUCUCUCCAUCUCUCUCUCUCAUCUCUCUCUCUCCCUCUCCCUCUCCCCAUCUCUCCAUCUCUCUCUCCCCAUCUCUCCCUCUCCUCAUCUCUCUCUCUCUCUCUCCCAUCUCUCUCUCCCUCUCCCCAUCUCUCUCUCCAUCUCUCCCAUCUCUCUCCCAUCUCUCUCUCCCAUCUCUCCCAUCUCUCCCUCUCUCCCCAUCUCUCUCUCCCAUCUCUCUCUCUCAUCUCUCCCUCUCUCUCUCUCUCCCCAUCUCUCUCUCUCCCAUCUCUCUCUCCAUCUCUCCCAUCUCUCUCUCCAUCUCUCUCUCUCAUCUCUCUCUCCAUCUCUCUCUCCCAUCUCUCUCUCUCUCUCCCAUCUCUCUCCCAUCUCUCCCUCUCCCAUCUCUCUCUCUCCCAUCUCUCUCUCUCUCUCCAUCUCUCUCUCUCUCAUCUCUCUGCCAUCUCUCUCUCCAUCUCUCCCUCUCCCAUCUCUCUCUCCGUCUCAUCUCUCUCUCUCUCCCAUCUCUCUCUCUCCCAUCUCUCUCUCUCUCUCUCCCAUCUCUCUCUCUCCCAUCUCUCUCCCAUCUCUCCCUCUCCCUCUCCCCAUCUCUCUCUCCAUCUCUCUCUCUCUCAUCUCUCUCUGCCAUCUCUCUCUCCAUCUCUCCCUCUCCCAUCUCUCUCUCCCAUCUCGCUCUCUCAUCUCUCUCUCUCUCUCUCAUCUCUCUCUCUCUCCCAUCUCUCUCUCUCUCUCUCUCCCAUCUCUCUCUCUCCAUCUCUCUCUCUCUCAUCUCUCUCUCCAUCUCUCCCUCUCCCCAUCUCUCUCUCCAUCUCUCUCUCUCUCAUCUCUCUCUCCAUCUCUCUCCCCAUCUCUCUCUCCCAUCUCUCUCUCAUCUCUCUCUCCCAUCUCUUUCUCCCCAUCUCUCCCUCUCCCCAUCUCUCUCUCUCCCAUCUCUCUCUCUUUCUCCAUCUCUCUCCCAUCCCUCUCUCUCUCUCCCAUCUCUCUCUCCCAUCUCUCUCCCAUCUCUCUCUCCCAUCUCUCUCUCUCUCUCCCAUCUCUCUCUCUCUCUCUCCCAUCUCUCUCUCUCCAUCUCUCUCUCUCUCAUCUCUCUCUCCCAUCUCUCUCUCCAUCUCUCUCCCCAUCUCUCUCUCCCAUCUCUCUCUCCAUCUCUCCCUCUCCCCAUCUCUCUCUCCAUCUCUCUCUCUCUCAUCUCUCUCUCCAUCUCUCUCCCCAUCUCUCUCUCCCAUCUCUCUCUCAUCUCUCUCUCCCAUCUCUCUCUCUCCAUCUCUCCCUCUCCCAUCUCUCUCUCUCCCAUCUCUCUCUCCCAUCUCUCUCUCUCCCAUCUCUCUCUCUCUCUCCCAUCUCUCUCUUCUCUCUCCCCACCUCUCUCUCCCAUCUCUCUCUCCCCAUCUCUCUCUCUCUCCCCAUCUCUCUCCCAUCUCUCUCUCUCUCCCAUCACUCUCUCUCCCCAUCUCUCUCCCCAUCUCUCUCUCUCCCCAUCUCUCUCUCCCAUCUCUCUCUCCCCAUCUCUCCCUCUCUCCCCAUCUCUCUCUCUCCCAUCUCUCUCUCUCUCUCCAUCUCUCUCUCCCAUCUCUCUCCCAUCUCUCUCUCUCAUCUCUCUCUCCCAUCUCUCUCUCUCCCAUCUCUCUCUCCCAUCUCUCCCAUCUCUCUCUUUCCCAUCUCUCCCUCUCCCCAUCUCUCUCUAAAAAAAGCCCCAAAAUAAAACUUUAAAAAAGAAUCUCUUCCUAACACCAUAAUAAUGGUUUCCUAACUUCUGAAGCUUGAUUGUAGAUCCUCA